GGUGGCUUCGGCUACCACUUACAGAUGGACCCGCGGCGCAUUAGCUAGUUGGUGAGGUAACGGCUCACCAAGGCGACGAUGCGUAGCCGACCUGAGAGGGUGAUCGGCCACACUGGGACUGAGACACGGCCCAGACUCCUACGGGAGGCAGCAGUAGGGAAUCUUCCGCAAUGGACGAAAGUCUGACGGAGCAACGCCGCGUGAGUGAUGAAGGUUUUCGGAUCGUAAAGCUCUGUUGUUAGGGAAGAACAAGUGCCGUUCAAAUAGGGCGGCACCUUGACGGUACCUAACCAGAAAGCCACGGCUAACUACGUGCCAGCAGCCGCGGUAAUACGUAGGUGGCAAGCGUUGUCCGGAAUUAUUGGGCGUAAAGGGCUCGCAGGCGGUUUCUUAAGUCUGAUGUGAAAGCCCCCGGCUCAACCGGGGAGGGUCAUUGGAAACUGGGGAACUUGAGUGCAGAAGAGGAGAGUGGAAUUCCACGUGUAGCGGUGAAAUGCGUAGAGAUGUGGAGGAACACCAGUGGCGAAGGCGACUCUCUGGUCUGUAACUGACGCUGAGGAGCGAAAGCGUGGGGAGCGNAACAGGAUUAGAUACCCUGGUAGUCCACGCCGUAAACGAUGAGUGCUAAGUGUUAGGGGGUUUCCGCCCCUUAGUGCUGCAGCUAACGCAUUAAGCACUCCGCCUGGGGAGUACGGUCGCAAGACUGAAACUCAAAGGAAUUGACGGGGGCCCGCACAAGCGGUGGAGCAUGUGGUUUAAUUCGAAGCAACGCGAAGAACCUUACCAGGUCUUGACAUCCUCUGACAAUCCUAGAGAUAGGACGUCCCCUUCGGGGGCAGAGUGACAGGUGGUGCAUGGUUGUCGUCAGCUCGUGUCGUGAGAUGUUGGGUUAAGUCCCGCAACGAGCGCAACCCUUGAUCUUAGUUGCCAGCAUUCAGUUGGGCACUCUAAGGUGACUGCCGGUGACAAACCGGAGGAAGGUGGGGAUGACGUCAAAUCAUCAUGCCCCUUAUGACCUGGGCUACACACGUGCUACAAUGGACAGAACAAAGGGCAGCGAAACCGCGAGGUUAAGGCCAAUCCCACAAAUCUGUUCUCAGUUCGGAUCGCAGUCUGCAACUCGACUGCGUGAAGCUGGAAUCGCUAGUAAUCGCGGAUCAG
rnacentral:rRNA from 1 species